GUCUAUGUCCAUACCACCCUGAAUGCGCCCUGUCUCCUCUGGUCUCAGAAGCUAAGCAGAGUUGGGCCUGGUUAGUACUUGGAGAAAUAAUAU
ensembl:rRNA 5S_rRNA 5S ribosomal RNA